rnacentral:tRNA from 1 species
GGAGGCUAUAGCUCAUGCUUAGCAUGCAUGAGGUCCUGGGUUCAAUCCCCAGUACCUCCA